CUAAACCAUUGGUCUGUGCUUUUUAACUUAAGAAAAUGUGCAUUUUUUUUAUUUGUCCAACUUAAAAAUACUGGAAAUCCUCCUUAAAGUUUUGAAAAGACUUAAAAGAUGAAAACUUAGUUCACAGUUGACCGUUCUGGUUUUAUACAAUCCGUAUAUGCUGUUUGGGUGUAUCACACAUUUACCCAGAGGUGAACCUAGGGUAUUUGGGCUUUGGGUAGUUUACCACAUUUUCACACAAUUAUUGUUGAGGUUGCAGAGCAAGGUGGCAUAGGAUCAAGCCCCUCCAUGUUUCCGUGUUCAAAAUAUUUGUACGUGGUAUAGCAGAAUUGCUGCAGCCGCUCUGACUGUCUA